AGCUCCAAUAGCGUAUAUUAAAGUUGUUGCAGUUAAAAAGCUCGUAGUUGGAUCUCAGGGUGAGCUCAGUUGGUCGGCCUAAUUGGUCAGAACUGGCUGUCUCUCCUUGUUUCUGGAUCCUUCCGGAGUUAAUUCUUCGGUUGUGGACUUCAGAUCGUUUACCUUGAAAAAAUUAGAGUGUUCAAGCGGGCGUUUGCUUG
rnacentral:rRNA from 1 species